CAGUCGCCGCGGGAAUACGUAGGUGGCUAGCGUUGUCCGGAAUUAUUGGGCGUAAAGGGCUCGCAGGCGGUUUCUUAAGUCUGAUGUGAAAGCCCCCGGCUCAACCGGGGAGGGUCAUUGGAAACUGGGAAACUUGAGUGCAGAAGAGGAGAGUGGAAUUCCACGUGUAGCGGUGAAAUGCGUAGGGAUGUGGAGGAACACCAGUGGCGAAGGCGACUCUCUGGUCUGUAACUGACGCUGAGGAGCGAAAGCGUGGGGAGCGAACAGGAUUAGAUACCCCCGUAGUCCCUGUCUCUUAUAC
rnacentral:rRNA from 1 species